rnacentral:rRNA from 1 species
GACGUAGGGCGCGAGCGUUGUCCGGAUUUAUUGGGCGUAAAGAGCUCGUAGGCGGCUUGUUGCGUCAGCUGUGAAAACCCGCAGCUCAACUGUGGGCUUGCAGCUGAUACGGGCAGGCCUGAGUGCUGUAGGGGAGACUGGAAUUCCUGGUGUAGCGGUGAAAUGCGCAGAUAUCAGGAGGAACACCGGUGGCGAAGGCGGGUCUCUGGGCAGUUACUGACGCUGAGGAGCGAAAGCAUGGGGAGCGAACAGG